rnacentral:rRNA from 1 species
GAUGAACGCUAGCGGCAGGCUUAAUACAUGCAAGUCGUGGGGCAGCAUGAGUAGCAAUACUUGAUGGCGACCGGCAAACGGGUGAGGAACACGUACACAACCUUCCUUCAAGCGGGGAAUAGCCCAGAGAAAUUUGGAUUAAUACCCCAUAAUAUAUUUGAUAAGGCAUCUUAUUAAUAUUAAAGCUUCGGCACUUGAUGAUGGGUGUGCGGCUGAUUAGAUAGUUGGCGGGUAACGGCCCACCAAGUCUACGAUCAGUAGCUGAUGUGAGAGCAUGAUCAGCCACACGGGCACUGAGACACGGGCCCGACUCCUACGGGAGGCAGCAGUAAGGAAUAUUGGACAAUGGACGAAAGUCUGAUCCAGCCAUGCCGCGUGAAGGAUUAAGGUCCUCUGGAUUGUAAACUUCUUUAUAUGGGACGAAAAAAGGGCAUUCUUGUUCACUUGACGGUACCAUAUGAAUAAGCACCGGCU